UUCUGAGCCCUGGCUGUCCUGGAACUAGUUCUGGAGGUAGUGGCAGCAGAUAGACUCUGGAGGUGGAGUUCCAGGCAGUUGGGAGUUGCUUGACACGGGGGAUGUUGGACUCCUGGCUGCAGGUGGAGUAGGCAUCAACUCCACAUGCUGCAAGUAGUCUCCAGCCACAGGAAGUCAAGACACAGGAAGUGCAAAGCCAGGUCCUACACUUACCUUCCUGGUGUCUUUAGCAAGGACUGCUGUAUCUCUGUGCUCAUUUCUCCUGAACUGGUUGACCCCUACGUCCCUAAAUGAUGUUUGGAGCAGAGGCAGGCUUUCACUAUGGAGUCUUGGCUAGCCUGGAACACACAGAGAUGUAUCUUCCCCUGCUGGGAUUAAAGGCCUAGCUCACACUAGCCAGAAUUUUACAGAAGAAGAAGGAGGAGGAGGAGGAGGAGGAGGAGGAGAAGGAGGAGAAGGAGAGGAGAAAGAAGAAGAAGAAGAAGAAGAAGAAGAAGAAGAAGAAGAAGAAGAAGAAGAAGAAGGAAGAAGAAGAAAGAAGAAGAAAAGAAGAAGAAAAGAAGAAGAAGAAAACGGAAAUUUUUAUUUGGACAAAAACUUAGGCCUUGGCAGCAUGGGGGCUCAAGCCUGGAUUCCCAAUUCUCUGAAGGCUGAUGCAGGAGGAUUAAUGUGAGUUUGAUGCCUGCGUGGUAUAGUAUGAGACAGUAUAAAGAAAGACCCCCCCC
rnacentral:lncRNA from 1 species